GUCCUGGCAGUAAACGGUGCACGCUUGGUGUGGCAGGAAUCGACCCCUGCCGUGCCGGAGCUAACGCGUUAAGCGUGCCGCCUGGGAAGUACGGUCGCAAGAUUAAACUCAAAGAAAUUGACGGGACCCGCACAAGCGGUGGAGUAUGUGGCUUAAUUCGAUGCAACGCGAAGAACCUUACCUGGGCUUGACAUGCAUUCUGUCAUCGGUGAAAGCCGGUUAGUGGAGCAAUCCACGGUUUGCACAGGUGUUGCAUGGCUGUCGU
rnacentral:rRNA from 1 species